AGAUAAGUGCUGAAAGCAUCUAAGCACGAAACUUGCCCCGAGAUGAGUUCUCCCUGAGACCUAGAGUCUCCUGAAGGAACGUUGAAGACGACGACGUUGAUAGGCCGGGUGUGUAAGCGCAGCGAUGCGUUGAGCUAACCGGUACUAAUGAACCGUGAGGCUUAACCUUACAACGCCGAAG
rnacentral:rRNA from 8 species